CAGCAGUGAGGAAUAUUGCGCAAUGGGCGAAAGCCUGACGCAGCGACACCGCGUGAAGGAUGAAGGUCUUAGGAUUGUAAACUUCUGUUAAGUGAGAAGAAAGAACCGCCUCUAAUAUGGGUGGGAGAUGACGUUAUCACUAAAGAAAGCACCGGCUAAUCUCGUG
rnacentral:rRNA from 1 species